rnacentral:snRNA from 1 species
AUCCUGUACAGGAGGAGGGAGAACAUGACAGGGAAGGUGAUUUUCUCAGGAUGAGGUUCAUUCUUUGCAAGAGGGCUGUGCUGGCUCCUGGAGUUUCCCUAAAGGAAAGCUCAAUUGCACAAUUCAUGGCAGAUGUAAUGCAG